GCCUUUAUAGCUCAGUGGUAGAGCGUCGGUCUCGUAUGUAAUAUUAGAUAACCGGAUGUCGAGAGUUCAAUCCUCUCUGAAGGCA
rnacentral:tRNA from 1 species